rnacentral:rRNA from 1 species
GUUAUAGGAUCAAGCGACUAAGUGCAUGUGGUGGAUGCCUUGGCGAUCACAGGCGAUGAAGGACGUGCAAGCCUGCGAAAAGCGGGGGGGAGCUGGCAAUGGAGCUUUGAUCCCCCGAUAUCCGAAUGGGGAAACCCGGCCCGCAAGGGUCAUCCCAUCCUGAAUCCAUAGGGAUGUGGAGGCGAACGCAGCGAACUGAAACAUCUAAGUAGCUGCAGGAACAGAAAUCAACCGAGAUUCCGUAAGUAGUGGCGAGCGAACACGGAAGAGCCUGCACGACUAAACCAUCAACUUAGCAGAACGGUCUGGAAAGUCCGGCAAUAAAGGGUGAUAGCCCCGUAUGCGAAAAGUCGGUGGCGGGUCUGAGCGUGCGACAAGUAGGGCGGGACACGAGAAAUCCUGUCUGAAGAUGGGGGGACCAUCCUCCAAGGCUAAAUACUCGUGAUCGACCGAUAGUGAACUAGUACCGUGAGGGAAAGGCGAAAAGAACCCCGGGAGGGGAGUGAAAUAGAUCCUGAAACCGCAUGCAUACAAACAGUGGGAGCCUCCUUCGUGGGGUGACUGCGUACCUUUUGUAUAAUGGGUCAGCGACUUACGUUCAGUGGCGAGCUUAACCGAAUAGGGGAGGCGUAGCGAAAGCGAGUCUGAUAAGGGCGACAUAGUCGCUGGGCGUAGACCCGAAACCGGAUGAUCUAUCCAUGGCCAGGAUGAAGGUGCGGUAACACGCACUGGAGGUCCGAACCCACUAAUGUUGAAAAAUUAGGGGAUGAGCUGUGGAUAGGGGUGAAAGGCUAAACAAAUCCGGAAAUAGCUGGUUCUCCCCGAAAACUAUUUAGGUAGUGCGUCGUACGGACACUUGCGGGGGUAGAGCACUGUAAUCGUUGGGGGGGUCACUGCGAUCUACCCCGCGAUAGCAAACUCCGAAUACCGCAAAGUGAUAUACGGCAGACAGACAUCGGGUGCUAACGUCCGGUGUCAAGAGGGAAACAACCCAGACCGCCAGCUAAGGUCCCAAAUGCAUGGCUAAGUGGCAAACGAAGUGGGAAGGCAUAGACAGCUAGGAGGUUGGCUUAGAAGCAGCCACCCUUUAAAGAAAGCGUAAUAGCUCACUAGUCGAGUCGUCCUGCGCGGAAGAUGUAACGGGGCUCAAGCCAUGAACCGAAGCUGCGGAUGUGUCUUUGACACGUGGUAGGGGAGCGUUCCGUAAGCCUGCGAAGGUGUCUCGUAAGGGAUGCUGGAGGUAUCGGAAGUGCGAAUGCUGACAUGAGUAGCGAUAAAGGGUGUGAAAAGCACCCUCGCCGAAAGCCCAAGGUUUCCUGCGCAACGUUCAUCGGCGCAGGGUGAGUCGGCCCCUAAGGCGAGGCAGAAAUGCGUAGUCGAUGGGAAACGGGUCAAUAUUCCCGUACCGGUUCUAGAUGCGAUGGGGGGACGGAGAAGGUUAGGCCAGCCGGGUGUUGGACGUCCCGGUUUAAGCGUGUAGGCGUGCCCCGUAGGCAAAUCCGCGGGGCUGAGCUGAGGCGUGAUGACGAGGACCCUCGUGGUCUGAAGUGGUUGAUACCCUGCUUCCAGGAAAAGCCUCUAAGCUUCAGUCUAGAAUCGACCGUACCGCAAACCGACACAGGUGGGCAGGUUGAAAAUACCAAGGCGCUUGAGAGAACUCAGGAGAAGGAACUCGGCAAAUUGAUACCGUAACUUCGGGAGAAGGUAUGCCCCAUUAGCUUGUAGGAGUACAUCCGAAGGGCGAAGGGGCCGCAGAGAAUCGGUGGCUGCGACUGUUUAUUAAAAACACAGCACUCUGCAAACACGAAAGUGGACGUAUAGGGUGUGACGCCUGCCCGGUGCCGGAAGGUUAAGUGAUGGGGUGCAAGCUCUUGAUCGAAGCCCCGGUAAACGGCGGCCGUAACUAUAACGGUCCUAAGGUAGCGAAAUUCCUUGUCGGGUAAGUUCCGACCUGCACGAAUGGCGUAACGAUGGCCACACUGUCUCCUCCUGAGACUCAGCGAAGUUGAAAUGUUUGUGAAGAUGCAAUCUACCCGCGGCUAGACGGAAAGACCCCAUGAACCUUUACUGUAGCUUUGCAUUGGACUUUGACGGGACUUGUGUAGGAUAGGUGGGAGGCUUUGAAGCC